rnacentral:lncRNA from 1 species
CACUUAUGAAUUUUCCUAAUUGGUAUUUUGUUUUCACUUGUUAAUGGUUUAAAUCUUGUGCAGGAAAUAAGAUGUUAUUUGCAUGCUCAGGCAUACCUCUACCUAACAAGAUUUGCGGGAACUCUAAACUUCACCUAACAAGAUUUGUGACUUCAGCACGUUUGGUUGAAGAAUUCAACAGAAAUAGAAAUAAAGAUGAUCAAUUGAGGGUUCGUUCUACUUAUCACCGUGUCCA